CACGUAGGGCGCGAGCGUUGUCCGGAAUUAUUGGGCGUAAAGAGCUCGUAGGCGGCCUGUUGCGUCCGCUGUGAAAGCCCGGGGCUUAACCCCGGGUCGCAGUGGAUACGGGCAGGCUAGAGGUAGGUAGGGGAGAAUGGAAUUCCCGGUGUAGCGGUGAAAUGCGCAGAUAUCGGGAGGAACACCGGUGGCGAAGGCGGUUCUCUGGGCCUUACCUGACGCUGAGGAGCGAAAGCGUGGGGAGGCGAACAG
rnacentral:rRNA from 1 species